rnacentral:lncRNA from 1 species
CUCCCAGAUGCCCUAGUGCAGCAGAAGAAACUGGCCACGGGAGCUGCAGUCGUAGAACCCUGGCUCCUGGAGGAGAAGACCUGGCUGCACUGCGUUGCAGAUCUAUCACUGCCAAGGGCUACUGAAUAAAGAACAUUUUCUUAAGGCUUGUCUUCACUACUGGGAGAUCGACGCUGCUGCUGCAAUCAAUGUAGCAGGUGUCAAUUUAGCAGGUCUAAAGAUCCGCUAAAUCGAUGGCAGAGCAGUCUCUGGUUGACUCUGGUACUCCAGCUCCCCAAAAAGAGUAAGGUAAGUUGAGCAGAGACCAUGUCCUGUCAACACAGUGCAGUGAAGAUACCGGGGUAAUUCACAUAGCUGG